rnacentral:lncRNA from 1 species
UGAUUUUAUCCAUAGCUCAUUAGGUAUGGAACAAAUCCAUAAAAAUAUUGCACAAGUUUACAUUAGAAUCUAUGAAUCAAAAAAUAACUAGCUUUGAUAAACACAUGUAUUAGUUGAUAGAUUUAAUCCCACCAUAGAAUUAGGUGUGAGGUAUGAAUUCACUCAAUUUAUACUCAAAUUAAAUCUAUAGUGUGAUUUAUCUCAUAUAACCGAAUAAGGUCUAAGUAUGCGUGUCGUGGAUCGUCUCCUAAUCACCUUAGUUCGCGGCCAGCUAGCUGCUUCCCCGCGUUAAUCUUGUAUCGUGCGAUGUUUUAUUGGUGGAGGAAGGCGGGAAUUGUUGGGCCGGGGCGGCGUGAGAGACUUCAACGGCGGUGGAGAUGACAUCGGCGCCUGGAUAUUCUGCUGCUCCUUCAUCCACCUCGCCAUCAACUCCAGUUGCAGAUCGGCGUCUCGGCUUUGCCUCCGCUCGCACUUGUUGCCGGCCCGGCAGUUCUUGCGCUAACCUGGGUGCCUCCGCGGCUCCGCCGACCCCGCCGCCAAUCACCGCAGCAGCUCGAGCGAGGGCACGUGAUGCAAGUGCCUAGGCGUAGCAUCUGAUGUUUCACAGACUUGAAGCGCACGAGCACAGGAACUCCCUUCAUCAGUUUCUUGGUGGAUGCUGGAAUCCCUUCAUCAAUUGCUGGAGUUGUUGCCUGGAGUUGUGAACUGUUUACCUAGUGUAUCAGAAACUUGUGUCUCAGAUUAGCCUUGUUUUUUAUUCCUUAGUUUGCAUCAAAAGGUGUUUUUAUUCUUCUGUUUUCAUUUGAGUCUUCCGUAAAAUGAUGUCCAAUAUUGUAAGUGCCCAGGCGUACCAUCUAGCUAUUCAUGCGUCCAAUAUUUUCAGUAAAAAUCAUGUCACCUGUUUAACGUGGGCAAGCCCUUGCGUCAAGUAGAGAAACAGGGCUGAUGCAAAAUGGCCGAUUCAUGCCUUGGGCUUUUUUUGCUGGCCCGAUUUUCAUUUGAAUCUUCUAAUUCAGGAACUGCUGGAGUAAACAGGAUAUUCUAUCCCGAAUAAAUUUUAGUCUGCCUCUAAAAAUCAGUUUUUGCGGAAAUUUUUUAGUAUCCUCUUGGAGAUGAUCUAAGCCUAUCAUUAUGUCCAUGCUAAACAAGAUGGCCACGAAAAAUGUUAUAAUCUGCUGUCUUAUUUUAGCGCUCGUGUUGUAGUCAGAUCAAACAUCUGUUGCUGGUUCGUAUUAUCUUCCUUCUCUGUUUGCUUAUUAGUUCAGUGUGAACAUACAACAAGUAGAGAUUUACAAAUAUCUAUAGUAGUACAUGCAUCUAUGUGUUUUACAGUUAUUCAUCUGCUAGCUUGUAUAAUUUCCUUUUUAUUUGAUUUGAAAAAAAGUACCAUUCAACUCUCUUUUCUUCUUCCUUUGACAAAUUAACUCGUAAUGAUACCUACUAGUCAAUGGCGUGCGCCAGCGCACGCGUGGAAAUUAAAUACUUAACAUUAAUGUAUAGUCAUACAGAUACUAUAUUACACAUACAUAUAUAGAGUGAUAUGGAUGAUCAUGAUCAUUACAAAAUAUACAUGGUCAUUACAUAAUAGGUGCGUUACAAAUAGUGCAUUUUUGGUAGUUUAGUAAUGUUGAUGUGAACUGUAGAGUAUUCCUUCUGAAACAUGGGAAAGCACUUAAACCUUAUGGUGUAUACCUUCUAGCGCGGCAAUAUGUUCAUCAGAGAAAUAACCAUAUUGCAUAGGAAUCCUAAUGUUACGUGGAGAGCGUGCACAUAAAAGAGCAGUGGUUUCUUGUGUUUCCUUUUGCCAAAAAAAUGUUUAUUCCUUAAUAGUAUAAAAAGGGGAGCUUGCAAACAAAUAAUGAGAAGACAAAAAACAAACAGCAAUGAAGUAGCAUGCAUGAACCUAUAUAAAUCACUACCAACAUAGAUAGAUAGGCAUUACCUCUAAGAACCAAUCGAUGUUGAUUUAGCACUCGCUUACGAUAUUGUCAUGCUAACUUUGUAUUUCUAUGUGAACCCACGAUAUAUAUUGUUAAUCCAAGGUCAACAUUAGGCGUCAGUAAUAUCAACGUGGAGCUAGAUGUCCCUUGCAAUGGUAUUUAUAUAUGAUCCUAGUUGGUUAUGCCCACUACAUCUGUGAAUAUAUCAAAAAGGAUCAUCUCCUGCAGAAGACCAAGAUAAGAAAUGUUAGCAAGAACUCUUACUUUUUUAGGAAAAUAUUGCACCCCUAAAAUCAUCUUUUUAGUGGAUAAUGAAUCUCCCAUCGUUUAUGAAAACAUAACACCCCAAACUCUUUUUUUUAGAAAUCAAUCGAGGUGCAUAUCUUUUAUGUACCAUUAGAAGUGUACGAAUGUGUGGUUAAAGGUGGGGAAGUAGCAAAAGGAUGCGGCAGUUAUACAAUAAAUGUUCUUAGGUUGUGCAACAUUUUUUUGCACAACGCCAUCAGCUAUGCCAAUCAGGUAAUUACACAUCUAUAUUGCGAGCUUGCCCAAAGCAGAGCAGCCCCUGAGUUUGAAUUGAGUUGUCUUUGUAAAUCGAAGUAAUUGUUUUUCUUCCUUUUUACCUUGGCUGAGCCAGCCGAGACCUUGGCCAGGUGCGGUCUAGCAAGUCUUUUUUUGGGCACAUUUAGGGGUUUCAAUGUAGUUUAAUAGAGGAGAUAAAAAGGCACGUAUGACUUCCGGUGUAGGCGGAGGUAAAAAAGGGACCCAAAAGCAUGUGUGCUAAGUGUAGGUGGAGGUCGUAUCGCAGAGAUUCAAAACCAAAGGCAAUGUCGGCAUGGUGGAAAAGCAAUCAGAGUUUAGUUUGAGAUUCUUUUUACCUCGAGGAAACGUGGGAUGGAUGGAGGCGGAUGCAGCAGCACUAUUAUUGUCCAGGAAACGACAUCCGCGAGGGCUCGAUGGAGGCGCACGCAGCAGCGCCGUCGCUGCCGCCGCUGGCAGCGUGGCCUCCGUAGUAAGAACUGGAGGCACACCGAGAGGCUUCUAGGCACAUCCGCACAUCCGGUUUGUUUUCCUUUUUUUU